rnacentral:lncRNA from 1 species
UGGAAGUAUUAAUUUAGAAAGAUAAUAUGCUUCAUUGGUGUUGUGUUUUGAAGUGUGAAAUGUGAUAAAGUCAAGAUAAAGUUCACUUUUAAACUGAACUAAAUAAGGUAUCUGAGAGACAACAAUGGUUAAAUGCAAUACAAUGUACAGGUUUUACUAGCGAAAUGAAAAUUUUCCUGUCCUGUCUGCUGUAAUCAUUUUAUAUCUGGAAAACCAACCGACUUAAUCGAUAAUAACAAUCUCCAGAUUGGGUUCCUUCAAUAAAUAUGGUCUAUAAACACAAUGAAAUAAGUUCCCCAAAAUCUAAAAUGGAGUGCUAUCAAAGGAGAAUUAAAGGAAAAAA